rnacentral:antisense_RNA from 1 species
AGUGAAACAACGAAUUGCUGUGUGUAGUCUUUGCCCGUCUCCUACGAUGGGCUUUUUUUUUA